UAGGGAAUCUUCGGCAAUGGACGAAAGUCUGACCGAGCAACGCCGCGUGAGUGAAGAAGGUUUUCGGAUCGUAAAACUCUGUUGCUAGAGAAGAACAAGGACGUUAGUAACUGAACGUCCCCUGACGGUACCUAACCAGAAAGCCACGGCUAACUACGUGCCAGCAGCCGCGGUAAUACGUAGGUGGCAAGCGUUGUCCGGAAUUAUUGGGCGUAAAGCGAGCGCAGGCGGUUUCUUAAGUCUGAUGUGAAAGCCCACGGCUCAACCGGGGAGGGUCAUUGGAAGCUGGGAGACUUGAGUGCAGAAGAGGAGAGGGGAAUUCCGUGUGUAGCGGUGAAAUGCGUAGAUAUAUGGAAGAACACCAGUGGCGAAGGCGGCUCUCUGGUCUGAAACUGACGCUGAGGCUCGAAAGCGUGGGGAGCAAACAGG
rnacentral:rRNA from 1 species